UUUUUUUUUUUUUUUUUUUUUUUUUUUUUUGUGACAGGAGCAUGUUACCAAGAGCUUAUACGCGCUUACGUGGUUAUAUGGUAGAAAAUGAAAUUUUCCUAUUGUAGUAAAGAUAAGGAAGAAGUCCUAAAUCACGGUCUUUAAAUAGGUAAAGAGAAGAUUGACUCUCUUGCACAAGUGGAGUUUUUUUCAUUAGAGAAUGGUAAUGGCAUGUGCAGCGAAAGGCUACAAAGCAGAGAACAUGUUUGCCUAUGGUGGUAACUGGAUAGUUGUAAUUAUUAGAGUCUGCAGAAAUUCUUACGGCUUCAAUUUUCUCAGUGAAGUAGGAAGAAAAGCAAUUGGUGAGUGACAACAGUAAAACAGCUAAUGUGGUUUGAGUGGAGAGGAGGAAGUAUAAAAUGAUUAUGUAGGAUAGCUGUAGAGCUAAUGGACUAGCAACUUUCUGCAUGCCUGCUGUGCAGAAAGGAUCCAUGGGAUGUCUAUAGGCAAGAAAUUAAAGAAUUUUUAGUGUGGCUUCAUGUUUUACUCCCACAUUUUGCCAAAAGGAUAGAUAGGCACAGAAUAUGGAGGAUAGUAGCAGCAGUACUUCUCAAAAUAACUCCACAAUUUAUAACUGAUACUACUUGGUAAACACGGUUUCAAUCCUAGGUCUGAGGAAAACAAAGUGAUCAAGGGCCACAGCAAGACUACUGACUUUGGUUUCAUGUGAAUUAAUUUGCAUUUCUGAGAAAUGGGCAGAGGUUGAGAAAAACAAGACACUAACGAAGGCAUUUUAGAUAUUUGCCUGUGGAAUCUCACAGCCUAAGUGCUUAGGUGACAGUAAGACACAACUGUCUGGAGUCUAGGACUCAGGAAAGCAUUAUGCACUAGAAAUGGAAAUUGAAAAUAUUUUAGCACAUAGAGGCAAUUUAAUUGGGAAGAAUUACAUGAUCCAAGAGGACUACCUAGAAUUAGAAGACAAUGACCUAGAAUCAAACUUAGCAGAACAUAAUAUUUACGAAAUGUUCAGAUAAUAAGCAGGUAGCAGAGGACACCAAAAGGAGAUCUCAAGAGCUAGGAGGGAAAUUCUAAACACACAGGAAGUGAUUGUUUAAAAAUCAAUAUUAAUGGGUGAAAUAGAUGGUCCAAUGUGACCUAAAGUGUAUAGACUGUUCCAGGUCAUUAGCAUAUUUGAAGCUUACUAAAUGUGCAAAAUGUUAAUUGCAUGCAUAGUAUUGGUAUUGGCCCCAUGCAAUUAACAUUUUGCACAUUCUAGCCAUUUCUAGUGCUAAUUUUCUAGCCAUAUUAAUUUCUUCUAGUGCUAGAAGAAAUUCUAGCCAUUUCUAGUGCUAAUUUUCUAGCCAUAUUAAUAGCCAGAUGCUAUAAUUUAAAAAAUAAAAAAUUAAAUAUUUAGAUCCUUAUUAUUUGUGGAAUGUUUAAUGUAUUAGAUUUAUUUUUAAGUGACAUAUUCCUUGAAAGGUUUAAGGAGAUUUAAUUUACUACUUGUUGCAGUUUUUUAAAUUAAAUUUUGAGAUCUCAGAUAUAAAUGUGGGACUACUAAUAUAAUUUAUUUUAAUGAAGGAUGAUAUUUUAUCAAUAUUUUUAGAUCAAGGCUUACAUGUACCUUUUUAACUUUCUGAAAUUAAAGUGAUCUUAUUUGGGAAGAAAAAACAGAUUUCUGCAAUUUCCAAAUGGAAUAAUAAAUUGCUAUUGUCAGAUUUUGUAUUCCUUCAAAGGGAAAAUUACUAUCAUUCAAUUUCAUGUAUCUAAAAGUUUUCCCACAAGUCCUAACAUUUGUUGAUAUUUUUCAAUGAAGUAUGGAUUUGAUUCUCCUCUCAGUUUUGGUCUUCAUUCGAGAACUUAAAAUCUAAAUUAAACUUUAAAUAGUGAAUACUUUCUGAAAUAGUUCUGAGAAAGCUGAGUUCUUUUGCUUAUUAUUUUCUUAGGUCAGCUAUGUUAAAGAUAUCUUACUUUUUAAUUUUUGAAUAGUCACAGUUAUAAGUCAUAAGAAAUAAUGAUGGAACAGACAUCAUAAUCAUAGCUAAAAAUGAAAAGUUGGUUGUUUUUUAUAUUAGUUAGAUUUAACUAUUAUUAGUUCAUCAUUACACAGAGCUUUACCUCCAAGAAUCCCUGGAAUUAAGGUUAUAGGACAUUAAUGAGAGGCCUAGGAAAGAAAUGAUACUUACAUGCAAACUCUGAAAUAAUAUGCACAUUCCACAUACUUUUCUGUUAAAUGAAAUAUUUAAGAGACAAAUCAGGAGAAAUCAUGAGCUGCCAUUUUUAUGCCUAUUAAUCCUCACUCCUCACAUUUUACUAAAAAGCACUUCUUUGAAACAUUCUGAUAGACCCAAGGAGGAUUAAACCACAUUCAUCCAUCUGUGUAACUUUAAUAAAAUAACCAGAUUUUAAACUUGCAAAUAUUUUUUUUUUAAACUUGCAAAUAUUAAACACAAACAGAAUUGAAAAUCUUGUCUUUGGAAGAGACUUGAUGUAAAAAGUUUUAGAUACAACUUUUCAGUUCUUUGAAAAGAGAGUGAGUGGAUAAGUUUGUGGACAUGAAAUGAGGACUUCUAUCAGAAAGGAGCAGGCUUUUAUUGCUAGAUAGACGCAGCAGAAGCUUAGAAAAGUGUGAAUAAAGGGAAUGAAAUGCAAUAAAGUAAAAUUUUACUCAUUUUAAUCCAGACUCUAUUAGCAGGUAUUUACAUGUGCCAUCAUUUUAUGUCUAAUGAAAUAAAUGUUGAAGUUUCCUUGUGCCGAGGCAUCACAUACACAGACCUCAAUGUUCAUUAUAGACUAAUCAAAUUUCUCUCUGAAGUUAUUAAAUUUCAGUUCAAUCCCUAACUAAAACUACUCUCUUCAAAUGGCAGGAAGGUACCUGACAAAAAUACAGUGGAGAAUGAGAGAGAACAACUUCAUGAACUAGCUUCCACCUAAUUUCUCAAUGUCAUCCUAACAAUAUUAUAAUCAUGUAUAUUUAUAUGUGGGAAACUCAAGAGUGACAUUACCAGAAUUGGUAGUACUUGUAUAAUGUAAAAAUAACUAAGUUUGUGUAUUUAUUAGAUGCAGAGCUAAAUUAUGUAUUAAAUUAUAAGGAAUCUACAAAAUAAUUAAACACAUAGUUUUUUCAAAAGUGGAUUUUUAAUUAUUGUUUAAUAUUCAAUCAAAGAGAAAGAUGCAACAAAUAUUGAAUUAUUUUAGAGAUAUUUUUGACAAACUUCUGAAUUUAUGUGCUCAUAUUGAAUUAGGUUAUUUUCACAAAUGUCAAUUUUGUAUCAGUUGUCAUCAUUUAUAGGACAAUUUCUACAUCAAUUUUUUAUCUGAUAUAGACAUGUCACAGUUCAUGCUAAGAAAGCAAUGUCUAUAAACAAUCUGUUGUUAAUUUGAGUCCAGUCUGUUUAUGAAAGUGGACCAGAGUAGAAGUCUUACUUUCAAAGAUUUGUCAUUCUCCAUUCCAACUUGAUGUUUCUGUUACAUUCCAAUUCAGUUCUAUCAACUAUUUCUUCCUACAGCUGGCUGGAUUUUAGUCAGAAACCCAAAGAAAUUUAAGGGAGCAGAAUGAGAAAUAAUUGAAAAGGUAUAGAUAAAACAUAGCAACAAAAAGACUUAGAAAACUCCCUAAUGAAUGUUUGACAUUUUCAAAUUCCUUUAUGAUAUUCGUGAGAAAGAUACAAAUUAUGCCACUAAUUGAUUGAAGUAAAUUCAGUGAAAAAACUAAUCUAUACUUAAUAUAUAACCUGAAGGGAAGGUUUUGAAUUAUCAAUGUUAAAAUUUUCAAGUUUGAAAACUUUUAAGAUUGAAUAAAAAGCUUGUACUUAGAUGUUUGGAUUUGUAUACCUUUUUGUCCCAGGAAUUAAUAUUUCAAGAAAAGUAAAUUUUAGUUAAAUAUUUGUAGGAAUAUUCACUAAUGGCAAGUUCCACAUUGCCAUUAGUAAAAAUCUUUAGCCUAUCAAAAAUAUCGCGAACAUAUCUACCUAUUGCAUUCAAUAUAUAUCUCUGGGGGCAUUAAAAUAAAUUAAUUUGGGAUGCCUGGUGGCUCAGCAGUUGAACAUCUGCCUUCGGCUCAGGGUGUGAUCCUCGAGUCCUGGGAUGGAGUCCCACAUUGGGCUCCCUGAAUGGAGCCUGCUUCUCCUUCUGCCUAUGUAUGUCUCUGCCUCUCUCUCUCUCUGUCUCUCUCAUGAAUAAAUAAUAUCUUUUAAAAAAUAAUUCUUGUCAUGAAAGGUGGACAAAAAUCUUAUCUAUUUUUGUUCUCUUUAUCAUAUUUUAAACAACUUUAAAAGAUCCCUCUGGGCUAGUAUUAAUAUAAAUUAUUUGAGGGCUUGCAUUGAGGCUAAUUCCCCUUCUGAAUUUCAACCAUUCCUUUCCUGAAACAUGUUGAAAUGACCUGAAAGUUUGUUGUCAUAGCAGGAAAAGACAUCAUUGUCCAACUUCAAUAAAUUAUAAGAAAAAAACAAACAGGUUGUGUGUUGGUCUAUACGCAUAGAGUAAUUUUUCUCUUAAAGUUUCUAUGGGAUUGUUUUGCAAUUAAUUACAUAUACCAAUGAAGGCAGAUGAUAGAAAAGGUUUACUACAUGUUCCUGGGGAAAAUUUUUAUAUUUGCACCAAUAAUGUAUGGGCAAAUUCUGUAUUCUACAUUCUCAGACUCCAUUACUGAUUUUUCAUCUUUACUAAUCC
rnacentral:lncRNA from 1 species